rnacentral:lncRNA from 1 species
GUCACAUUGAUCACAUAUUCAUCAAAAUGUUCCCAAAUACUCCUCCAAUACCUUAUCUCGAGAUUCUUAAGGUUCGGACAAUUCACAUUCAAUGCCUUAAGGUAGUCCCGUUUCCUAAUCAAACACUUGUUCAGAAUCAACGUUUCAAGAUUUGGACACCCAAAGAAAAUAUCUGCAUUGUAAUUUUGACUCGAAAACUCAAAGUUUUUCAGCAUAAGAACUUUUAAUUCCGGCAAAGAGAAUGAAUUUGGUAACUCGAUAUUACAAGAAGUCGCAUUAGUCAGACACAAAGUUCUUAACGAUGAAGAAGCAUGGAACAAGCUAGUCAACGUGAUAAGACUAUGUUUUGUGUAUGCACGUACGCUGAGAUUCUGCACUUUGUGAUGAACCGCGUAAGAAAUACAGUCGCUAAUACAACCUGCGGCAACUUCCUCGUACAAGGAAAGGCGAAAUCCGGUCAAAUUAGUAUCGUCCCUACAGCCCAGAACAUGAUCAACAAAUGAAGUAAAAUUAAGUCGGGAUUGGCCAAAAUAGUAAAAAUUGAGACUUGGCAAUGAAGUCCACAGAAAUCUGUAGCGUUUGGACAGC